rnacentral:lncRNA from 1 species
ACACGCGCGCACGUGCGCGCACACACACAUCAGCAACAACAGCAUCCAGCAGCAUCCCCUACCUAGAGUCGAUGAGGGCAGUGCGAUUGGAGCCAUCCUCACGGACUCUCAGCCAUUCAAUGGUGACCCGAGCCCGGGCACUGUGUGGGGACAGCCUCUCAAACCUCCGGAGAGCUGUUCUGGGCACAGGCUCCUGGAACAGCCGCAGCACAGCCUGCACCAGCUCGCUGUUAGGCGGCAGCCGCUGCUCCAUUCCGAACACUAGCAGGUGAGUGGAGGUCUCUGACAUCAGGAACCUGCCUGCCACCUCUGUGGACAAGGACAGAGUCAGCCGGGCCUCUCCAGGUAUCACAAGACCUCUAGGAUGGCAGAGCCACUGUACUUGAAGGAGGCCAGGACAGAGCCGUUACAGUUCUGUGCCUUUUUAAAAUCUCCAGCAAGAGCUUGUUCACUAAACCUCCCCAAGCAAGCACAAAGAGCUUUGGGAUCCAGAAGUAAUGAAGCUGAAGAGAGUAGGGUCCUUAUAGAAGCCGGGUCAUGGAUCUGGCUUUCUUUCUGAUCCCAGCCCUAACGGGGAGAGGCUCCAUUUAGGCUCCUGCAUCUCACUAGCGGGCUAUACUGUUCUCAGAAUACUGGACGUUUUGUUUGCUUUUAACCCAAAGUAGCUUCAACCAGUAAUUUACUUCAGUGUUCAUAGCACAAGACACAGUUGGCCACUGUCCCAGAUGGUCCUAGAUAGUCACCCCAGAAGUCACACUACUGUCUCCAGAAGAACUGGGUCCUUGCUACACCUACCCAUACCCUAUGAUCCUGUUUUGCCCUGCUCUAUUCUUCUCUGAGUCUGGGUCUUGUCAGUCACUCCAGCCUGAUGUAUAUCUCCUCCUGGCCUUGAGAGUCCUGAGGACUUGGUCACACCUCUCAACACACACACAAAGAAAGGGUCUACAUCACCAGAGUGGGCAUGGUCAGUCUGCCCUGUCUAGAGACCAGGGACAGCAGGAAGAGCUCACCUCGAAAAUUCUGGCUGAACCUCUUGCCUCGGGAGCGGUCAGCGUGACUUCCCUGCAGCAGGGCCACAUACUGGGACCUCACGUGGGUAGGGAUGGCCAUCUCCUCCACAUCCGCGCUGUCCAGGGUGGGGGCCUGGCUGAGCUGCAGCUGCUGCAGUAGACUGCUCAGGACCUGUUCCUCGGUCAUCGCUGCCCCAGGGCCAGCCAGGGGCAGUACCCAGAGUGCCCAGCAAAGCCACAGGGACUUCAUGGCGCUGCCCAGGAGGAAUCGUGGAUAUAUGCGUCCCUAAAAGUGCCCUGAAAAGUUCUUGGGACCUAGACGGUCUGCUGAGGGCUGGCACUGGCCUUCUUUAUAGUUGGCCCUGGGGUGGGGGGCAGGGAGGAAGGACAAGAAAGGUCACACCCCUGGGACCUCCUGGGAACUCAGCAUGAGACAAGCCCCUGCGCCCUGAGGAGGGGCUGUCUAAGAAAGGACACAGAGAGCUGUCUGGAAGACACACGGACUGAGAUUUCUGUCUGUGGGGUCACUGCCUCUCAACGAUACUGUUCGCUCUUGUUGGAAUUAUCUGAUAAUAUCACCGUCUGUUUUGUGGGAUAGAGAAUUCCUCGGGGCAAAAAACAGAGAGACUCUUUCACCAGUUGUUGAAGUACUAUAUUACCUGCAUAGCCAUGGCUGGGCUGAAUUCUUCAGAAACGACUCUAGGUCAGGCGGACCCCAAACUUGUGAUAAUCCUCCUCCCAUCAUCCUCUGCAUGCUAGAACUACAGCUGUGUAUCACUAUGCCAGACCUGUUUAAGACUCUGGAAGAUUCUCCAUGGGCCAGUGGAGGUCUAGAUUUGUCCGUGGAGGAACAAAGAGGGGCAGAGUCCUGUAUUCCAGCUGUCUCUGGUCAAUUCCACAGAUACCCCGGAGUCAAAGGAACCGUAUACAUCCUUCAGUACCCCCACGGGUCUGUCCAGGUUCGUCACGGUCCUCAUCACACCCCACCCCUCCCAUGCCAGAGGAAGACAGAUGCCGCUAACUAGAGAUUUUGCUAGCAUAGUCUCAGGAAACAUGAAGACUGCGCAUGUCUCUCUGCUCUCAGAGUGCCACAGAAUGUGCCUCUUCAGACAGCAACUCCUUCUGGGAGGGCUCGCCCACUAGGCUCAUACCACAAGCGCUCAGGCUUGUGUCUUGCUCAUACCACAGACUUAGAGACAGAAACCAUCCAGAGGCCAAAUCUGCCUGGAAACAUGUCCAGUCCACAGCUGCAGGCACCUGACUGGCCCUACUUCUUCUAGCUCCCAGUUUACAACAGCUGGGUCUUGAUACUUGGUAAAUUUUAUAAAUUCUCAA